CCUACGGGUGGCUGCAGUGGGGAAUUUUGGACAAUGGGGGCAACCCUGAUCCAGCCAUUCCGCGUGAGUGAAGAAGGCCUUCGGGUUGUAAAGCUCUUUCAGCAGGAACGAAACGGUGGCCACUAAUACUGGCUACUAAUGACGGUACCUGAAGAAGAAGCACCGGCUAACUACGUGCCAGCAGCCGCGGUAAUACGUAGGGUGCGAGCGUUAAUCGGAAUUACUGGGCGUAAAGCGUGCGCAGGCGGUUCCAUAAGACAGAUGUGAAAUCCCCGGGCUUAACCUGGGAACUGCGUUUGUGACUGUGGGACUCGAGUGUGGCAGAGGGGGGUGGAAUUCCACGUGUAGCAGUGAAAUGCGUAGAGAUGUGGAGGAACACCGAUGGCGAAGGCAGCCCCCUGGGUCAACACUGACGCUCAUGCACGAAAGCGUGGGGAGCAAACAGGAUUAGAUACCCCGGUAGUC
rnacentral:rRNA from 1 species